rnacentral:rRNA from 1 species
GACGAACGCUGGCGGCGUGCCUAAUACAUGCAAGUCGAGCGGAUCUCGAGGGGCUUGCCCCUUGAGAUUAGCGGCGGACGGGUGAGUAACACGUGGGCAACCUGCCUGUAAGACUGGGAUAACACCGGGAAACCGGUGCUAAUACCGGAUAAUUCUUUCUCUCACAUGAGGGAAAGCUGAAAGACGGCGCAAGCUGUCACUUACAGAUGGGCCCGCGGCGCAUUAGCUAGUUGGUGAGGUAACGGCUCACCAAGGCGACGAUGCGUAGCCGACCUGAGAGGGUGAUCGGCCACAUUGGGACUGAGACACGGCCCAAACUCCUACGGGAGGCAG